UACCUCCCUCGUCCCUAGGCCCACCACAACCAUUUGGGUGUGGCUUCUUUCCUUAUUUAUAAUGCAUUUUACCAACUUUAAACUUCACAACGCCCUACGUUUCUUGCUGGUUCUUCUUCUUCUUCCUUGAACUCUCUGAAGUGAAAGUUCUUUGCUUCAAUAAUGGCUUCCUUUCCUUGCUUCAACCCUUUUCCCUUCCUUCUCUUCCAAGUAAUUCUAACUCUCUCUUGCCCAAUUAGCUUCCAAUUAGAAACCCUCCUUCUACUUCACGUAGAGAGACCAUCACCAUGACCCCUGCAAGUCUUGUCCAGCAAAAAAUCAGGCAAAGGUUUCCACUCCAAGAAACCAUACCAAAAGUUGGAGCAUGCCUCUGAGAAGUCCAAAAAGCAUAAGCAUGGAGAUCAAGUUCAAGUUCCAGAAGGUUAUAUGGCUCUGUACGUGGGGGAAGAGCGAAGAAGAAAGUAUAAAGUUUCUUUGAAGUGUCUCUCUUGUCCAGCUUUCCAAGAAGAGAUCAUCAAGUCGCAGCCGGAUGCGUUUGAUGCCAAGACUGAAGGGCCUUUUCCGCUUUUAUCACAUUCAACCACCCCACUAUUACUUGCCAAAACAAUCGCAAGCUUGGAAAGAGCCGCAGUUUCUGCCCUGCUAACGAUCCUGAUCAGGCCUGGUAUAUUUCUAUCAUCAUGCAUGCUUUAUAAUUGAGUUGCUGCUGGCCUGGCUGAUCUGCUUGUGUGGGUCAUGAAAGUGGUUCCUGUGCAAACUCAGACGUAUUAUGCUGUAUAGAAGAACAAGCAACAAAUGCUGUUUUUGCAGCUACUCUUUGUUCUUGCAUCGCUUUUCUUUUUCCAUUUUUAUUUUCAUAUUUAUCCUGCAGGUUUUUAUAUGCUUUUUAUUCAUAUGUGAAGGAGCCAGUACGGCAGCCUGAUCAUGAAUCUGAGUUGACGUGUUCUUUUUGGACUGAAAGCAAGAUUCAUUAAACUUGAACAAAAAGACAAUUGGGCCAGUACAGAUGAAAAGGAUCCUAUUACUGUUCCAGUACAGAUGGAACUGCCUACAAAUUAACUUGUCCGAUGUCCUUGACCAAGCCACGUACUAUUGAUUGUCUUAUGAUAUAAUAUUCUUACUGUUCUUGA